CAGAGCCGUACCUAUUUAUCUACUCACACUCUGUGGGUUGGUGCUCAUCUCUAUUUCUAAGCCGACGAGCUGGCAUUGUCCAUAGACACCUGCAAGGUCCCUAAAAAAAAAAAAAAAAAAAAUCAGCACGCGCCAGAACGGGCUCGCUUACUCAGUCCAGGCAACGUGGUUGCUAAUGGUUAACCCGCCCGCCCACGAGUUAACCCUCUUUCCCAGCUUCUUGGCGCAGAAGAAGGCCGGGAGUGUGUGGCACCACGAUCCAUCCCGUAAACAAUUUGCCUUCAGUUUCCAACUUGAAGAACAAGUUCUCCUUUGUCGCCGAGAGAACAAAACGCUGAGGACGUUUGUCGUGCACUUUGCCCUCCUCCUCCUCCUCCUCCGAUGACGACAACGACAAUUAAAUGUGUUACCUUGGAGCUGAGGACGAUCAAAAGUCGCCGUGUAAUAUAUAUAUACACAAGGGAGGAGUGUGUCCGUCCACUUCGGAGCAACGAAACAACACGAAAAGCGAGAAAAGCUAUCGGAGUUUCCGGCUUUCCUUGCUGUCGAAGUCGCCUUGGAUUUCGUUGGAAACCCACUUCGAAGAACGUCAAUUCGGCGUUGUAGGUGCUGCGGAAAAAGACAAAGAAGAGAGCCAAAGAGUAACAACAAAAGUAAACCGAGAGAAUUAUUCAUUGUGUUCCCAAAGAAACACAGAUUCCUAGAAUUAUAGACCACGCUGUCAAAACUAUACAGAUCUUCUGUAAGAUCUUGCCAUCUUUUCUUGACUUCUUCAGCUGGGAUCCUGUUGUCUCCUACUGCCUUGUUAUUAUCAAUGCUUCUUAAGGCCCAUUCAACCUCACUUUUAAGCAAAGAUUCCUAGAAUUAUAGACGACACUGUCAAAGCUGUCCUCAGUAUAAUUGUCAUCUUUCCUAUACGGAUCUUCUGUAUAAUCUUGCCAUCUCGACUUCUUCAGCUGGAAUCCCGUCGUCUCCUACUGCCUUGUUAUUAGGAGUGCUUCUUAAGGUCCAUUCA
rnacentral:lncRNA from 11 species